AGAAAAGGAAACGAAAGGGAGAGGGAGUAAAGGCAAGACCAAAUUGCACAGUCCAUGGUGACAGGUAUCAUGAGACCUUCCCAUCCCACGGACCCCUGGAAGUUCAGGUAGGGUAUUGAUAUCUUACCCAGCCCUUUAAUAAAUUGAUCAACAAAGAAGGUCAAGCUAAAGGAACGCAGGAGGGACAGUAUUGGAUUGAAGAUGACUCCUGGUGGCAUAUGCGUCCUGUACGAUGAAAACCUGUCUGAAACUCCGAGGUCCACUGAAGGAGGAAUCUGGUUCAAUGUCCACAAAGCAGUGACCCAAUAGGCCGAGGUCAGGAAACGACGAGGGUGACUGACAGAGCACGGGCAUUCCAGCGUUUUCCUGGUGUUAGCCCAAUGGGAAAAUGUGAGCACCCGUCCGGCAGUAUCAGAGAACUGAAUCUAGAGAGAAAGGGAGUGAAGGCAUUUGCCAGGUCCUUGGUGACCCCCAUGGUAUGCCGCAUGCCAGGCUAUGGCCAGGUGUGUGUGUGGAAGCCGCGAGCCUGGAGAAUGGCUGUGCCAUUGGGUCUCCUGCUCUUGGCUUUGUACUCCUCAGUGUGCAGCCGCCGGACCCGAAGGCAGGCUCCUUCCUGGAUGAGCAGGCGAGGAUGGCAGCGUUGUCUCUGGAUCCAGAAGGCCAGUGGUGGAAGCCGAAGGCCAGGCCAGGCUGCGUGGGGCCGAGACCCCUCCUCUGGCGGUGGUGGCAGGAGAGAUCCCAAGGGUGGAAGCCGAAGGCCAGGCCAGGCUGCGUGGGGCCGAGACCCCUCCUCUGGCGGUGGUGGCAGGAGAGAGCCCAAGGUGAGUCAUGGCCCCAUGCUGCUGUCUCAGUUUGGGUCAUUGGGAUAAGGGUUUUCAUUGUCUUCUUACAAAGUAGUAAAUGUAAUCAAAGUUUAACUAUGGUCUAUUGA
rnacentral:lncRNA from 1 species